rnacentral:rRNA from 1 species
CUAUCCGUCGUGGGCGUAGGAAAUUUGAGAGGAGCUGUCCUUAGUACGAGAGGACCGGGAUGGACAUACCUCUGGUGUACCAGUUGUCGUGCCAACGGCAUAGCUGGGUAGCUAUGUGUGGACGGGAUAAGUGCUGAAAGCAUCUAAGCAUGAAGCCCCCCUCAAGAUGAGAUUUCCCAACUUCGGUUAUAAGAUCCCUCAAAGAUGAUGAGGUUAAUAGGUUCGAGGUGGAAGCAUGGUGACAUGUGGAGCUGACGAAUACUAAUCGAUCGAAGACUUAAUCAA